rnacentral:rRNA from 1 species
UACGGAGGGAGCUAGCGUUGUUCGGAAUUACUGGGCGUAAAGCGCGCGUAGGCGGCUUUGUAAGUUAGAGGUGAAAGCCCGGGGCUCAACCCCGGAACUGCCUUUAAAACUGCAUCGCUUGAAUCCAGGAGAGGUGAGUGGAAUUCCGAGUGUAGAGGUGAAAUUCGUAGAUAUUCGGAAGAACACCAGUGGCGAAGGCGGCUCACUGGACUGGUAUUGACGCUGAGGCGCGAAAGCUAGGGGAGCAAACGGGG